UUACCAUGCAAGUCGAACGAGAACAGAAGAGAGCUUGCUCUCUUGCUGCUAAGUGNGNGCNCGGGGUGAGUAAUAUAUAGGUAAUAUGCCUCUUACUAAGGGAUAAUUGUUGGAAACGACUUGUAAUACCUUAUAUGCCUUUUGAACAUAAGUUCGUAAAGGGAAAGAUUUAUCGGUAAGAGAUUAGCCUGUACGGUAUCAGAUAGUUGGUGGGGUAAUGGCCUACCGAGUCUAUGACACCUAACUGGUUUGAGAGGAUGAUCAGUCACACUGGAACUGAGACACGGUCCAGACUCCUACGGGAGGCAGCAGUGGGGAAUAUUGCACAAUGGACGAAAGUCUGAUGCAGCAACGCCGCGUGGAGGAUGACACAUUUCGGUGCGUAAACUCCUUUUAUAUGAGAAGAUAAUGACGGUAUCAUAUGAAUAAGCACCGGCUAACUCCGUGCCAGCAGCCGCGGUAAUACGGGGGGUGCAAGCGUUACUCGGAAUCACUGGGCGUAAAGAGCAUGUAGGCGGGUGAAUAAGUUGGAAGUGAAAUCCUAUAGCUUAACUAUAGAACUGCUUCCAAAACUGUUCACCUAGAGUAUGGGAGAGGUAGAUGGAAUUUCUGGUGUAGGG
rnacentral:rRNA from 1 species